rnacentral:rRNA from 1 species
GUGGGGAAUAUUGCACAAUGGGCGCAAGCCUGAUGCAGCCAUGCCGCGUGUAUGAAGAAGGCCUUCGGGUUGUAAAGUACUUUCAGCGGGGAGGAAGGGAGUAAAGUUAAUACCUUUGCUCAUUGACGUUACCCGCAGAAGAAGCACCGGCUAACUCCGUGCCAGCAGCCGCGGUAAUACGGAGGGCGCAAGCGUUAAUCGGAAUUACUGGGCGUAAAGCGCACGCAGGCGGUCUGUCAAGUCGGAUGUGAAAUCCCCGGGCUCAACCUGGGAACUGCAUUCGAAACUGGCAGGCUAGAGUCUUGUAGAGGGGGGUAGAAUUCCAGGUGUAGCGGUGAAAUGCGUAGAGAUCUGGAGGAAUACCGGUGGCGAAGGCGGCCCCCUGGACAAAGACUGACGCUCAGGUGCGAAAGCGUGGGGAGCAAACAGGAUUAGAAACCCCUGUAGUCC